rnacentral:tRNA from 1 species
AGUGGUAAGGCACCAGGUUUUGGUCCUGUUAUUGCGAAGGUUCGAAUCCUUCCGUCCCAG